AAGGUGAAAAUAUGACAGAGAGACAGGAACAGGUAUCUUGCUGAGGAGGAGAUACAUGGCUAAUACAAUAAAUA